rnacentral:lncRNA from 1 species
UUUUGUUUUAUAUGUGAGUUAUGCCAAUUAAAAAGCUCUUGUUUAGUUAUUGAGGUAAAUAUGUUAAGACAUGUGUUUGGUUAAGGGGGUCCCCAUAAUUAAAAGCCUUAUUUGGUUCGUCCAUUUAGCCAGACGUUAAAAGCUCCUGGUGGUAAAACAUCUUGGUUGGACGAUCUUCAUAGUUAAAAAUUCUAGUUUUAUUGGGAAGCUAGCCAUUGCAAAACUCUGAUCCUUAUAUAAG